rnacentral:rRNA from 1 species
CGAGAAAGCCCGCAAGGGUGAGUAAAGCGGCGCACGGGUGCGUAACACGUGGGUAAUCUGCCCUAGAGUCCGGAAUAACUCGCCGAAAGGCGUGCUAAUGCCGGAUGAGACCUCGGGAGCCUCGGCUCCUGCGGGAAAAGGUGGCCUCUGUAUACAAGCUAUCGCUCUGGGAUGAGCCCGCGGCCCAUCAGCUCGUUGGCGGGGUAAUGGCCCACCAAGGCUACGACGGGUAGCUGGUCUGAGAGGACGAUCAGCCACACUGGAACUGAGACACGGUCCAGACUCCUACGGGAGGCAGCAGUGGGGAAUCUUGCGCAAUGGGCGAAAGCCUGACGCAGCAACGCCGCGUGUGUGAUGAAGGUCUUCGGAUCGUAGAGCACUGUCGCGAGGGACG